AAAAGAAGAAUAAACAUCGUUUGGGCGCCAAAAUGAGCAGCAGUCAGUCAGAAGAACUCUCUCAGACGGACACCACGUUAUUAAAGUCCAUCAUCCUUGCAUGCGCUACACACUCAAAAGCAUUGAUAAAUGCUGAAUUUAAAAGAAUCACUACUGUCUAAUGUUCCUGUGUCACCUGGACCUCCAAUCCAAAAACCUGACGAAACUCUUCUAUCAGAAAGGAGGACAGCUAGCAAAAAGACUUGGAACAAUCAAUGAUCAAAUGACAGAAGGCAUGGAUGAAGUCAGCAUCAGUGAGGUCAUUUGAAGACACCAAUGUUGGGAUUUGUGCUCUCAAACAACAUGCUUCUUGUGAUGAAGAAGAGGAUCUUUGUAUAGUCCUGGAAGGCAUGAAGGUGUUGCAACAUCGUGCCAUGUUGUUUGCGCUGAUGUAU